rnacentral:lncRNA from 1 species
CACUCACCCUCAAAGGAGAGGAGCUGUGGGACCAGAACGUCAUCCAGCACGAUGACAACCCAGAGGAUAUGGGAGACCCCACUGCGGCCACCAGGGACGUGGAUGGGAUGAACACGUGGCCUGUGGCCUCUCCAACCCCCACUUCAACCAGGGACCCCCCCAACAUCACCGCGCCGACGCAAGCAGGCAGCCUGGGGAACCAAACCCGAAAUGGGUCGGGAAUUCCCGUCAAGUACUGGUCCCCCGUCAUCUUUGUGCUCCUUGCUCUGCUCGUGCUCUUCUUCACCUACCGGAGGACCAAGGGUGAAGGUGAGCUCCUCGCCGGGGCACCCGUGGUUGGGGCAGCCCCGCGAUGGGUUCAGCAGCGAAGGGUGGUGGCAAACCCUGCCAGCCUCAAAGCACCACGAAAAGCAGCAAAAUGCCACCCAUGCUGGCAUGGCUUGAUGAGGCUUUGUGCCGGAGGAGGCUUCUUCUGUUCAGUUUUGCACCUUUUGGGCUCCCCUGUGCCACGAAGCUUCGACCUCUCCCCGUUUUGACACAAACCCGAGCUCGUGGCCUCGCCAAGGAAAACCCAAACCUGCUCACCCCUCAUCCCAGCGGGACCUCGCUGUGUUUUUGUUGUUGUUGUUGUUUUAUUAAUGGGUUUUCAGCCUCUCUAAUGUCAUGCGUGUGUCUGCCCUGCUCCACAGGGACGCGGGAGCCAACCACCUCCAUCAGUGACUUCUCAGGUGAGCCGCGAGCGGGUUCCUCGUUAGGGCAACGCUCGUUAGCGCAGCCUCUGCCCGCUCCUAGUGCCUUGACUCGGCCCCGUGUGUUGCGUUUCAGAUGCGCUUGUCCAAGAGCACGACACCGCCCUCAUCAUCCCCGCUGCCCAGGAGGACAGGAAAGGGGCAGAGAACCCCCACGCCCAGGAGCUGACCGAGACCACCUUCUGCCAGCCGGACCCCCCCCCAGGACAGCCGCUGCCUUCCCAGGUAUUCCCCCCCCCCUCCUGGCAGCUGCCAGCCCAGGGCACAAUUCUGGGCACGGUGUGCACCCAAAACACUGUGUGGGGAGGUUUUUAGGAUGCUCCUGAUGUGCCCUGGACACCCAGGGAGGGUUUGGGACCCCCAGGGAGGGUUUGUGCCCCCCUCAGCUCCUCCUUUUGCCUCUCCCUGACCUCAGCAGCCCGCUGUCCCUGCGGCCACCGGCGAUCCCUGCAGCUCCGGGGAGCCUGGUGCCGACUGAGGGCCGGCCGGGGGAGCCAGCGGCUUUUGGACAAGCUGAUGGAGCACGAGGCCAUCCCAGGAGGACAAAUUCUAACCAGACACCCAGCGGGGGGACACGUGGAUGCUGGGGGAUGUGAACACCAUGCACCACCUUGCUCCGAGGGAUGCUCCGGCACAUCGCCAAAACCCAGCGGAAUGGGGACCCGCUUGGGACAGGGCUGGGCGCAUUGUUCACGGCCCCCAAGGACAGGGCUUGUGGGGGGGGCACGGCCGAGCCAAUAAAGCCGGGUUUCACCCCA